UCUAUCGCAGCACUCCACCACGCCAGUUUUCCUCCAUUUUCCUUUCGCCAUUUUCUCCAUCUCUUCCUCUCACUCUCUCGACCAGCGGUGUAUAUAGGAUUGCCGGCGAAGCUUUCCGGCUCUGUAGACAUGAUAGCGAAGUGAGGAAAUUCGGAGGUUGAUGAUGCCAGAGAAUAGUGUUGUUGAUGAGGUUCUCUUUUAUGGUGACUAAGAUGCUAUCAAUUGUUGAUAAAGUUUUGGACUUUUGAGGUGAACAUGGAUAAAAGGGAUUCAAGAUGAAUUCAAGUUGAGAAGGAAUUAAGAAUAGACAUAUUGGAGAUUUAUUAUUUGAGAAGUUUUAUGGUUGUAUAGUAUUAUCCUUUCUUGUAUUAUAGAAGUUGGAUUUGGGUUGAGUUUAUUUGAUGUUGUAAAUCUUAGCCUUAGCGUUUAGGAAUAGGGAAAUACCUGAGCGUGGCUGUAACACCCAUUUUUCUUUUGGUUAGUUAAUG